rnacentral:rRNA from 1 species
AGAGUUUGAUCCUGGCUCAGGAUGAACGCUGGCGGCGUGCUUAACACAUGCAAGUCGAACGAACCUUCGGGUUAGUGGCGGACGGGUGAGUAACGCGUGGGAAUCUGCCCUCAGGAGGGGGAUAACGGCUGGAAACGGCCGCUAAUACCCCAUAUGCCGAGAGGUGAAAUGAAUUUCGCCUGAGGAUGAGCCCGCGUCUGAUUAGCUUGUUGGUGAGGUAAUGGCUCACCAAGGCUUCGAUCAGUAGCUGGUCUGAGAGGAUGAUCAGCCACACUGGGACUGAGACACGGCCCAGACUCCUACGGGAGGCAGCAGUGGGGAAUUUUCCGCAAUGGGCGAAAGCCUGACGGAGCAACGCCGCGUGAGGGAUGAAGGCCUCUGGGCUGUAAACCUCUUUUCUCAAGGAAGAAGAUCUGACGGUACUUGAGGAAUAAGCCACGGCUAAUUCCGUGCCAGCAGCCGCGGUAAUACGGGAGUGGCAAGCGUUAUCCGGAAUUAUUGGGCGUAAAGCGUCCGCAGGCGGCCUUUCAAGUCUGCUGUUAAAACGUGGAGCUUAACUCCAUCAAGGCAGUGGAAACUGUUGGGCUUGAGUGUGGUAGGGGCAGAGGGAAUUCCCGGUGUAGCGGUGAAAUGCGUAGAUAUCGGGAAGAACACCAGUGGCGAAGGCGCUCUGCUGGGCCAUAACUGACGCUCAUGGACGAAAGCCAGGGGAGCGAAAGGGAUUAGAUACCCCUGUAGUCCUGGCCGUAAACGAUGAACACUAGGUGUCGGGGGAAUCGACCCCCUCGGUGUCGUAGCCAACGCGUUAAGUGUUCCGCCUGGGGAGUACGCACGCAAGUGUGAAACUCAAAGGAAUUGACGGGGGCCCGCACAAGCGGUGGAGUAUGUGGUUUAAUUCGAUGCAACGCGAAGAACCUUACCAGGGUUUGACAUCCUGCGAACCUCGAAGAAAUUUGAGGGUGCCUUCGGGAACGCAGUGACAGGUGGUGCAUGGCUGUCGUCAGCUCGUGUCGUGAGAUGUUGGGUUAAGUCCCGCAACGAGCGCAACCCACGUUUUUAGUUGCCAGCAUUCAGUUGGGCACUCUAGAGAGACCGCCGGUGAUAAACCGGAGGAAGGUGUGGACGACGUCAAGUCAUCAUGCCCCUUACAUCCUGGGCUACACACGUACUACAAUGCUACGGACAAAGGGCAGCAAACUCGCGAGGGCAAGCAAAUCCCAUAAACCGUGGCUCAGUUCAGAUCGUAGGCUGCAACUCGCCUACGUGAAGCAGGAAUCGCUAGUAAUCGCAGGUCAGCAUACUGCGGUGAAUACGUUCCCGGGCCUUGUACACACCGCCCGUCACACCAUGGAAGUUGGCCACGCCCGAAGUCGUUACUCCAACCCUUGUGGAGGAGGACGCCGAAGGUGGGGCUAAUGACUGGGGUGAAGUCGUAACAAGGUAGCCGUACCGGAAGGUGCGGCUG